rnacentral:lncRNA from 1 species
UGAAGCGGUGGGGCUAGCUGGAGGCUGAGGUUAAAUUCGCAACCAAUUCCAUUAUUUGAAUUUGAAGAUCUUGGUGGGAUGUAUUUUGGUUUACGCAAUUUCAUUUUCCCAUGGAGCUAUCAAUAAAGAAUUUUUGGUUUUUUGUUUGGGUUUGAGUGGCGAUAUAGAAGAAGAUGAAGUGAGAUGGGAUAAGAUAGAUCUAGGAUUGGGGAAGAAAAUAAAGUUUUAAAGGUUUAGGAUUGU